rnacentral:rRNA from 1 species
GGGUGAGUAAUGCCUAGGAAUCUGCCUGGUAGUGGGGGACAACGUCUCGAAAGGGACGCUAAUACCGCAUACGUCCUACGGGAGAAAGCAGGGGACCUUCGGGCCUUGCGCUAUCAGAUGAGCCUAGGUCGGAUUAGCUAGUUGGUGAGGUAAUGGCUCACCAAGGCGACGAUCCGUAACUGGUCUGAGAGGAUGAUCAGUCACACUGGAACUGAGACACGGUCCAGACUCCUACGGGAGGCAGCAGUGGGGAAUAUUGGACAAUGGGCGAAAGCCUGAUCCAGCCAUGCCGCGUGUGUGAAGAAGGUCUUCGGAUUGUAAAGCACUUUAAGUUGGGAGGAAGGGCAUUAACCUAAUACGUUAGUGUUUUGACGUUACCGACAGAAUAAGCACCGGCUAACUCUGUGCCAG